rnacentral:rRNA from 1 species
UACGUAGGGUGCAGGCGUUAAUCGGAAUUACUGGGCGUAAAGCGUGCGCAGGCGGUCUGCUAAGACAGAUGUGAAAUCCCCGGGCUUAACCUGGGAACUGCAUUUGUGACUGCAUGGCUAGAGUGCGGCAGAGGGGGAUGGAAUUCCGCGUGUAGCAGUGAAAUGCGUAGAUAUGCGGAGGAACACCGAUGGCGAAGGCAAUCCCCUGGGCCUGCACUGACGCUCAUGCACGAAAGCGUGGGGAGCAAACAGG